rnacentral:lncRNA from 1 species
UAGGAUUUGAUUUAAAAUUAGGAUUUGGUUAGGAUUUGAUUAGAGUUUGAUUUAAGAUUAGGAUUUGGUUUAUGAUUUAGGAUUUGAUUAGGAUUUGAUUUAGGAUUAGGAUUUGGUUUAGGAUUUAGGAUUUGAUUUAGGAUUUAGGAUUUGAUUUAGGAUUUAGGAUUUGAUUUAUGGUUUGGUUUAAGGUUUAAUAUUUGAUUAGGAUGUGAUCAGGAUUUGAUUUAGGAUUUAUGAUUUUAUUUGAGUUUAUUUAGGAUUUAAGAUUUAGUUAGUUUUUGGCCUAAAGUUUGAAUGAAGUAAGAUUUCAACUAGGAUUAAAUUAAGAUUGACUAUGUUUGAAA